CGGUUCCUGCGGCGUGCGUGAGUUGCUAGCAUCCCUGGGACCGUAUCAUUUCUCUCGGGAGCUGGCUCUGCCUGGGGCCGUGGCCUCAAGCACCUGGCGCCCACCUAGCGUGCUAGGGUUCGAGAGGAUGAGCAUGGCUUACGGCGCAUGUGGUGCCGCC
rnacentral:other from 1 species